rnacentral:tRNA from 1 species
GGUGGCUCAGUAGUAGAGUACUUGCCUUAUAUGCAUGAGAUCCUGGGUUCGAUUUCCUCAGCACCA